rnacentral:ncRNA from 1 species
GAAAACCCUUUGAAGGGAAAGAGUAGUAUUUCCAAGAUCUUCUCAGAGAGCCGGAGUAUGGUGCGAUCCGGCAGAACAGGACAUAUGAAAAUCAUCCCUGAGGUGCGGUGCUGAAACCUAUUAAGCGCCGACGUCAUUUCCACGUUACAGGAAACGCGUAUGUUUGUACGUUGUAGAGCGCCUGGGAUCGUCAUAUCCUUCAGGAAUCAGGGUGGUAACGCGGAACCAGUAUCCGUCCCUCAG